UGGGGAAUAUUGCACAAUGGGCGCAAGCCUGAUGCAGCCAUGCCGCGUGUAUGAAGAAGGCCUUCGGGUUGUAAAGUACUUUCAGCGGGGAGGAAGGCGAUAAGGUUAAUAACCUUGUCGAUUGACGUUACCCGCAGAAGAAGCACCGGCUAACUCCGUGCCAGCAGCCGCGGUAAUACGGAGGGUGCAAGCGUUAAUCGGAAUUACUGGGCGUAAAGCGCACGCAGGCGGUCUGUCAAGUCGGAUGUGAAAUCCCCGGGCUCAACCUGGGAACUGCAUUCGAAACUGGCAGGCUAGAGUCUUGUAGAGGGGGGUAGAAUCCCAGGUGUAGCGGUGAAAUGCGUAGAGAUCUGGAGGAAUACCGGUGGCGAAGGCGGCCCCCUGGACAAAGACUGACGCUCAGGUGCGAAAGCGUGGGGAGCAAACA
rnacentral:rRNA from 1 species